UCGCCGAUGGUAGUGUGGGGUUUCCCCAUGUGAGAGUAGGUCAUCGUCAAGA
rnacentral:rRNA from 4 species